rnacentral:tRNA from 1 species
AAGGACAUAGCUUAAGUGGAUAAAGCUCAGUCGAAGAUGUAGGUUCGAUUCCUACUGUCCUUA